CGCGUAGGCGGCUUUAUAAGUCUGGAGUGGAAGUCCUCUUUUCAAGGGAGGAAUUGCUUUGGAAACUAUAGAGCUUGAGUGCAGGAGAGGUUAUCGGAAUUCCCGGUGUAGCGGUGAAAUGCGUAGAUAUCGGGAGGAACAUCGGUGGCGAAGGCGGGUAACUGGACUGCAACUGACGCUGAGGCGCGAAAGUGUGGGGAGCAAACAG
rnacentral:rRNA from 1 species